GCCAGGCGCCUAUAUAGCGCCUUUUCUACACUGCAUAUAUAUGAAUGCAAACCGCUCUGUGUGCAUCACAUAGAAACAUACUUCAAUUUUUCAAACACAGUGCGGCUUGACUUGAGUUCCAGCUUCCGUUCCCUGUGCAGCGUUAGAGUGAAGUACAUGUGGCAGUCGUGUACACUCUCAUCCUUGAAAAGAGAAAAUCUCUUGCAGAUCAUUCCUGGGAAAUCCCAUCUG